GGUUAUCCUAGUUUGUUUUAAAUACUUCCUUGAUUUUUUACCAAACAGUAAAAAUUAUAAUCGAUUGCCAAACAACACCGUAAUGUAAAUUAGAAUUACCUAGCAACACUUUUACAGUAACUGUUAAUCAAAUCGCUAAGGGUAGUGGAAACACACCACCAUUCAUUUCCCAUAGUUGGAGUCUCUUGUAACCUUAUUUAACUUCAAAUAUUAACCCGGGGUGAUACAACCGAGCUUCCAUUCCAGUUUGGAGAAUCCAAUGUUCGUAAAGCAAGUUUUUCUGCUGUUAACUUCACAUAUAGUAAUAUUAGCAAUCAAAAGUUCCCUCGGAAAACAAGUCAUUAUAACAUGCAUUGAACAUCCAUGCACAUGUUGAGUAGAACGAGUACAAGAAUUAAAAGCAGUUGUAAAUGACAAUAUAUAACAAGUUGUUGAACUUAUAAAGGUUAAAACAUAAGAUGCAAUGAGAGUAUUCCCACUGCAGAGCAUGACCUGAUGAUACAACAAUACUUAUUUAUACUAAUAAAAUUAUAAUAAAUUGGCAUGCCUGAGCUGUGCGCAUUUGGAACUCAUGUCCUAGUUUCCUGUGUUCUCUGUGAGAGAAGGUGGUGGUCCUGGUGGAGCACCAAUGCAACUAAUAUACAUGUUUUUACGACAGGGCCUAGGAGUAGGAUAUGCUGGGAAAGUAAUCGUACGAGGACUAGCGAGGGAUGGAGCAAAGAAAAGAAGCAUAGCUCCAAAAAUGAGGAGGAGCUUCAAGUAGGAGGCGAGAGACAUCUUGAUAAUGUGAGAUUAAUUGUGUGUGUAUUCUCAUGGAGUUUUAUAGGAGUUUUUUCAUGACUAUUCAGCUAGAAUAUUUUUCGAAUUCUCAAUUAUUGUGCUAACAGAUGUAACGGGUCUACGAAAUUUCCACAAAAUCAUUAAAACUUUCCAAUUCUUUUGCUAUUAGAUGUAACAUGUCCGCAAAAUUUCCACAAAACAGAGGAAUGAGUGAUAUUAGUUGGUUCACUUGGGCCUUGGAAUCCACUUGAGUUGAAGCACUGGAUUUUAUUCACCGAAUGGUGAAGUUGGUGACCAUUAGCAACUCACUGUCUCACUCCAUGCGCAUAAUAAAAAAUAUCCCAUGCAUUAUGAGUUUAUGACUAAUGUACCAAGGACUGGUCCUUGAAAAAAAAUUCCGAUGUUUCGAAGAUUUUCAUUAUUAGAAGGUGGCAUCUCUAUAAAUAAGUGUACCCUCGUAGCUCUGUAAAAGAAAAAAAAAAGACGUGUAGCCGUUUGUAUUUAAAUUUAAAAGAUGUUUAUUGUUUAUAAUUAAAGAAAUAUUUAAAAAUCAAAAAUAAUUUUUAAUUUGAAUGAUAUUUUUGAUAUUUAUGACUUAUCGAUUUUCCAAAUAAUUGAUAUAAUAAUAAAAAAUUAGAAACAUAUAUCACUUUAAGUAAUAAAAACAAGUCAACAAAAAAAUUUAAAAAUUUAAAAUUUUCAACUACCCAUAUUCUCAUUUAUAAAUCAAAUACUGACUUAUAAAUUCUGGAUAAAUUAUUUUUGACAUAUAAACCCACAUGAUGACAAACAACACCGUUAUAGUAUUUUCUUCAAAAAAAAAACACCGUUAUAAUAUUAUGAUGACAAACAACACCGUUAUAUUAUGUUUUUAAUAAUUACAUUAAAUAAAUUAUUUAAUGAAAAUCUAGCGAGAAACUUUUUGAAUCAAUAUAUAUUUUAUUGAAGAAUUUUUGGACCUUAUAUCGUUAUAAUUAUAUUUUUUUGUCAAGCAUACAGAAACCACCAUUUUAAUAGAGAAUCUCUGGCAGAUGCUCCAAGCUUCUACUAAAACAAAUGACCGCUGCGUUAUAAUGACAUUCAGGGCACCAAUGAGAACGCAUCGUUAGCUUAAGGGAAUUUAUCGAGCAGUUUGUGUGCAAGCUUAUGAACAAGGUAAAAACUCUGGUCUUAAGCUCUCAUCUCACAAUCUUGCAGCUUAUAUCUGUUAAAAAAUUAGUGUGUAAAAUAUAUUAAGAAUUAGUAUAUUAAAAUAUAUAAACAAAAAUAAAAUAAAACAGAGUGAUGAACAAAAUAGAGUGAAACAAAACAAUAUAUUUACUCCAGAUGAAAAUAUGUUAUAACCCUAAUUAUUACAUUAAAUUAAUAUGUAAAACAAAAUUAAAAGUAAACAUCUAUACUAUACUAUAAUAAGUCAACAUGGGUAUAAUUUGUAGUCCAAGGUUUAAGUUAUAUUUUUUGGUUUGAUACUCUCUUUUUGGUACUACAAGUCUACAAAUAUGGAGUCUAUUAGUCUUACAUUAUUAAACAGUUUCAAAUACUAAAAACACUCAUAACAAUAUAUUAUUAUGUAAUAUUUCAUUAAAAAAAAUUUAAUGAUGUUAUAAGUAUACAAUUUUGAAUAUCUAUUUUUAACAAGAAUCUUCAUAUAACUUUUUUAACUUUAACGUGUUCUAUUUCAAUAUAAACACGAACCAUUACAUAACUCUUUUCAACUCUAAUCUUAAAAGUUAUUGUUGUCAAAAAAACCAAGAUUACAAAAUUACGUUGAAAUUCGAUUGAUUGGAUUACCGGAUCUUUCAAAAGUAUUACACGAUCGGCUAUGUUUGGAAAAGAUUUGAAUUUUCUAAUUUUUUUUAAUUUUUAAAUCUACGUGUACUAAAUUCGGAUUAAAUGUACUAAAAUCCUAAUGUAUAUAUAUUUUUAUUCGGGUUUGUACAUUUUCAAGUAAACGGGAAAAUAUAGUCAGUUGAAUAAUAUAAUUUAAUUAAAAUUCAAUUCAUUAAUACUAAAAUACUAAUAAAAUGAUGUUAAAAUUUAAAUUAUAAUUAAUAAAUUACGAAUUAUAUACCCGCCCGUGCUUUGCACUAGUUAAAGGCUAGUAAGUAUUAAACAUAUACACACACAUAAUAUAUCAUGCAAAUUAUGUUGUUUACUAACAGAAAGAUAGAACUUGUUUCUUAUGAAGUAUUCUGCCCAAAGAAUCCGAUCGACUGUGUCUUUAAAAGCAACUAUGCCUCUCCACCGGUGUUUCAGGGAAAGAUGGAAGUGGCUUCCCAGGAUUGAGCGGAUUAACGUUCUAAGAAUUGUAAGCACUACAGAUUCUUAGACACCAACGAACUAAAAAUUAAGAGAAUUGUAUGUAUUGUGACUAUUAUUUUGUGUUUGUGUAUGUGUUUUCAAUGUGUUUUUAAUGUGGUUUCAAGAUGUGUGUCUAAUAUAUGUGGCCAUCAUAUAUAUAUAUACAUUAUGAAAAGAAACUUGACACCCUUUCAUAUUUCAACAGACACCACUAUUCUUUUAACAGACACCACUAUUCUAAUAAUCACAACCAUUCAAAUUUAUAUUCACUUGAAUUAUAAGAAUAAUAUUACUAUUAUUCUAACAAUAUCUACAUACUUCAUAUACAUACCCACAGUUUGUAUCAUGCUGAUUAAGCACUGUCCGAAUCCUCAGUUUCACUUGUUUAGGUUCGUAGAUUGCAUAUAAACUUGUACACAUGUUUUGACGAAUUAAUUUAUUUUUAUCUGAACUGGAAUCAUAUGCAAUGUAAAUUAGAAUUAGGUAAAAGCUUGGUGCACAUCAUUUCUGUACAAAUAUUUUGUGUACUUUCAUGUAUUUCGUGUACCCAUUCGUGUCGUUUCAUUUCGUGUUAGCAUGUUACGUGUCGAAUUGCCAGUUGUACUUCUAAUAAGACUCCACUACCUUAUCAACUACCCGUUGCAGCUCCUAAAAAUGCUCCAUAUCAGUACUCCGUAGUCACCCAUCCAAACAGUUACCGAUUUAUUUAAAAUAAGUACACAAAACAAAUACUUAAAUAACAAGUUUAAGAUCAAAUUCCAACAUGUAAAGCAAGUUUUUCUGCUGCUAACUUCACAUAUAGUAACAUUAGCAAUCAAAAGUUUGCCUGGAGAAUAAGUAACUAUAGGGUGCAAUGAACAUCCAUGCAUUUUGAUUGGAAUAAGUACUAGUUAAAAGCAGUUGUAAUUUGUAAAUGGUAAAAUAUAACAAGUUCUUAAACUUAUUAAGGUUGAAACAUAAGAUGCAAUGAGAGAGUAUUCCCACUGCAGAGCAUGACCUCAUGAUACAACAAUACUUUUUAUUUAAGGAUGAUACAAUAAUACUUAUCUAUACUAAUAAAAUUAUAAAUUGGCAUGCAUGAGCUGUGCGUAGUUUGAACUGAUGUGCUAGUUUCCUGUGUUCUCUGUGGGAGAAGCUGGUGGAGGAUGAUACCGUGAUGGCACCCCAGGCGGCGCCCUAGGUAUGACGACCGGCCCUGGCUUGAGUGCUGGGUAAGUAACCGGCCGAAUAGCGAGGGAUGGAGCAAUGAAAAGUAGCAUAACUCCAAAAAUGAGGAGCAGCUUCAAGCAGGAGGCGACAGACAUCUUGAUAAUGUGAGAUUGUGUGUGCAUUCUCAUGGAGUAAGGGUGGGGUUUUAUAGGAGUUUUUCCAUGAUGACUAUUCAGCUUGAAGAUUUUUCGAAUUCUUAAUUAUUGUGCUAACAGAUGUAACGGGUCUAAGAAAUUUCCACAAAAUCAUUAAA
rnacentral:lncRNA from 1 species